rnacentral:rRNA from 1 species
UACGUAGGUGGCAAGCGUUGUCCGGAUUUACUGGGCGUAAAGAGCGCGCAGGCGGUCGAUCAAGUCGCGUGUGAAAGCCCCCGGCUCAACUGGGGAGGGUCACGCGAUACUGAUCGACUCGAAGGCAGGAGAGGGUAGUGGAAUUCCCGGUGUAGUGGUGAAAUGCGUAGAUAUCGGGAGGAACACCAGUGGCGAAGGCGGUUGCCUGGAGCUUUGCUGACGCUGAUGCGCGAAAGCGUGGGGAGCGAACGAGG